AAAUAAGUUACAAAGAUUUGUCUAGGUGAAGCAAAAAUUAAAGGUUAGUUAACUUGGUCACAAAUUCGUAGACUGAGUUUCGAAGGCAAAUCAAGACCAAGCAACAUUCUUCUUUGAUUUAAUUAAGUUGAAUGCAAUUUGUCUCUAUCCUUAUAGAAGUGAACCACAUAGAACGUUUAGAAUGCAAUCUCUCUUUUCCUAUCACGACGUUAACAAAUUCGUACUCAAGAGUCAAGACUAACAGCAUGACUAUAAAAUUCAAUGUGGAGUUAAAAAUAAUCACAAGGCGACACGUGGGUUUUUUGGAUAAAAGAGGACAAGCAAAGAAGAGUGCUAG
rnacentral:lncRNA from 1 species